AUUGAACGCUGGCGGCAUGCCUUACACAUGCAAGUCGAACGGCAGCACGGGAGCAAUCCUGGUGGCGAGUGGCGAACGGGUGAGUAAUAUAUCGGAACGUGCCCAGUCGUGGGGAUAACGUAGCGAAAGCUACGCUAAUACCGCAUACGAUCUAUGGAUGAAAGCGGGGGAUCGCAAGACCUCGCGCGAUUGGAGCGGCCGAUAUCAGAUUAGGUAGUUGGUGAGGUAAAGGCUCACCAAGCCGACGAUCUGUAGCUGGUCUGAGAGGAUGAUCAGUCACACUGGAACUGAGACACGGUCCAGACUCCUACGGGAGGCAGCAGUGGGGAAUAUUGGACAAUGGGCGAAAGCCUGAUCAGCCAUGCCGCGCGUGGGAAGAAGGUCUUCGGAUUGUAAAG
rnacentral:rRNA from 1 species